AUAAUUUAUAGUCAAUAUAAAUAUAACAUAAUAUUUUUAUUUUUAUUUUCACAUUACUAUAGAUCGCUGAAAAAAAAAGGGCAAAUCUCCAAAAUAGCACAUUUCUAAGUUUAUGUCACAAAAAUAACCUUCAAAAACUAAAAUGACCAAAAUAGCAUUUUAUCUUUUGAAAAAUUUACAUUUUUUUUAUUUUUCAAAAUUUGAAAUCUUAUCCCAAAACCCAACUCCCCAACUCUAAACUCUAAACCCUAAACCCUAAACCCUAAACCCUAAACCCCAACCCUUAACUCUAAACCGUAAACCCUAAACUCUAAACCCUAAAUCCCACCCCUAAACUCUAAAUCAUAAACCCUAAACUCUAAACCCUAAACCCUAAAUCAUAAACCUCACCUCUUAACUCUAAACCCUAAUGUCUAAAUUAAUUUACCAUUG
rnacentral:lncRNA from 1 species